rnacentral:rRNA from 1 species
UUGAUUUGGUAGAAGUCUGUUGGAACACAGCGCCUUAGAGGGUGAGAGCCCCGUAAAACCUAUUCAAUUGUAAAAUACUUUCAAAGAGUCGAGUUGUUUGGGAAUGCAGCUCUAAGUGGGAGGUAAAUUCCUUCUAAAGCUAAAUAUUGGCGAGAGACCGAUAGCGAACAAGUACAGUGAUGGAAAGAUGAAAAGAACUUUGAAAAGAGAGUGAAAAAGUACGUGAAAUUGUUAAAAGGGAAGGGUACUAAAUCAGACGUGGGUGUUGUGUUCAACUUUGUCUCGGCAAAGUGUACUCGCAACAUCUAGGCCAAGGUGGGAUAGUUGGGCAGGAAAAAGCUUGAGGAAAGUGGCUCUUCGGAGUGUUAUAGCCUUUUGUAAUACUGCCUCGGCUGUCUCAGGACUGCGCAUUUUGCUAGGAUCUUGGCGUAAUGAUUUUGUACCGCCCGUCUUGAAACACGGACCAAGGAGUCUAACGUCUAUGCGAGUGUUUGGGUGUAAAACCCGUACGCGUAAUGAA